rnacentral:sRNA from 1 species
AUGUGUAUUAUUUAUCAUGUUUAUUUUAACAUCACAUCAUUGAAGAAUGUGUCCUACAAGUUUAAACAAAACAACCACUGCUUUUUUUUUCUCUUUUUUUUCACUCACGAAAAAGGCCAAAAGGUGUAGCCAGCAGGAACUUUCCUAUGUUUCCCAGUUUGUAUAAAAGUAACUAGCUCAUAUAUUGAACACUAUGUCAUCACAAAAUACAAGAUAUUGAGAUUCUGAUGCAGAAAACCGAAAGGCAUUAGAAUAAUUUUUGUGGGGUAGGGAACAAUAACAACACCUAACAUCUGAAUAGUAUUAUUAUUAGCAUGUGUGAAUAUUGAUUGAUGUACAAAAUUAGAACCGCCAUUGUAGUUUGUAUAAUGCACAAUCCGUGUAAAAAUCUAUGAAGAUCAAUCACAUUCAGUUUCUCUGCUCAUUGCCCUCCAGGGUUCCUAUUCCAUGACAGAUAAGAGGGAUCUCCAAGUUGCCUGAACAAAGAGACAAUCAUCAUAUUAGGAGCAAAUUAUAUUCACAACUACCAUUGUCCGUGGUGUUGAAAUAUAUGAACUUCAGACAAAACAAGAAACUACUUCGCAAUUUCAAAGGAUAUAGAGUUGAGUAUAUUACAAGGGAAUCAACACGCAUCAUGUACUCCUAAUAUUUUGACUUUUGUAAAAGAUAAUGCCAUUUUGUUUUUAUUUGUUCCAGCUUUACUUGCCAGAAGAAAGCUCUCACAUGACAUGAACUACGUUAGAUACACAACUAAUUUGCAAUACGCUAGGCAAACAAUUAACUAGACCAAUAUGUAGCUUCUAAUCAAAUUGAUUAAUGGGGUAAUGAUCAAUAGUUUAGCAACUGAAAAAGUGGUGGUAUGGGAGAACUUUUAAGUUAGAAAAAUGUUAUUAAUAUGUGCAAAAAGUGAGGGCAUUGAACACCAUUUCUGGUCAAACACAUAUUUAAGAAACUAAGGAACAGAAUGAGGAAGUGCAUUAUGCUAUGCCAUGAACAGAAUGGAGUCAAAAAAGACUUGCAAGGUAGAAAGUAGUAGGGGAUUUCAUUACCUAGGCUUGACAAGAUAUACAAGAGUAAAGACCAUGGCCAAAAAGAAGCUCAAUCCUCCAACAGUAAGAUAAGCAAUGCCAAGGAAGUCAUUCUUCCCGCCGAGCCAGGUAGUAGUUGACAGAACAAGCUUCUUCUUGCCAUUAAAACUGUAUGUGUUGUAGACAUUGUUCAAAUUCACCUGAAUGACAUCACCUUUCUCCAAAUCCACUUCAAUCCUUCCAUAUAACUUCCUAAAAGUUGGCAAAGCUGCCGUUCGCAUCCAAACAAUGAGAUCCUCUUGCUUACUCAACUGUUACAUAAACAUUCAAAAAUUGAGCAACUUUUCUCAUUGAUGCAAGCAAAUAGAGAAUGCCAAGACAAUCACAAGAUGAAAAAUGAAACAGAUUAUAAAUUAUAAAAACGAGAAAAAAAACAAUUACCCUCUCAGCACAAGUAACACAAAUGACUGAAUCAGACUGGUGCAGAAUGGACCAUUACUAAUUUACUACCAUGCAGAGGAUAGUCAUUUCAGUGCACAACUCAACAUGCCUUUUUGUUCACCAGCAUAUUCAUCAUUUGCUUAUUCAGAGUCAGGAAUCAAUAAAAGUUGGGAGGAUCAAAGGUCUCAAAACUUGGAUAGGACGAUUCAUUCAUAUCAAAAGGUGCCUAAAAUUUCAGUCUACGAAUCUAGUCUCUGACCUUAACUAGAAAUUCAACAACUUUAUUAAAUUUGGACAAGGACAUUGGAGUAGUUGUAUGACAUACUCAAUUAUUAUCUACAGCUAUCACUCAGUAUGGACUAAAUUGUGAAUUCUGAAUACAGAAAAAGGUCAAAGCUCAAUCCUCACUGCAAUCAAAAGAUGGCUGAUGGUUUAAUUAUUUAUAUGCUUCCACUCUCUGAGCAUUUACAGAAUAAAUAUAUUAACAUUCCUUCCAAAAACUUUCCUGUCUUUGGAUUGAUUAACUGAGUUGUUUCAGCCAGUUAUAUUCAAAACAAAUAGUUAACCAGAUGUCCAAACUUUAGCAUGAUAACUAUAUUGGUAGUUUCAGUUUUUAAAAUCAAAUUGUGGUUUAGAGAACAAUUUUAGUAAGAAAAACAUAAAGAUCAAAACAAUACAAAACCUAUGUGCACACAGUAUGGACACCAAUCAUUACUAUUAGACAGCCUGAAGUGUAAUUAAGUAGAAACAGAACAAUAUUAAACCAAAAGUUGCAAGCACAAAUAUAUUUAUAUUUAAAAGGGGCUUACAAUUGACUGCUGUACAGCACAUAUCAAACAACCUCAAUUUACUGUUCUGGACUUUAUGAGAAAAGGAGAAUUAUGCACACAGAUGCUUUUUUUAAUCAAAAUUUGAGUUCAAAGAAAGACUUACAGGUGUGUUUUCAUUAAGACUACCACCCCCUAUUAAAGAACCAUUCUGGAAAUUUUUAGGAAAAACAUCACUUCCAAAUUUGUGAUCCCUAUCACUUUUCCAUGAGAUGUCGUUCUUGUUCACUGUCAAAUUAAUGCUGCUGCGUGAGAAGCUGUAUGUAUCGUUGAACAAGCUCCAAGCUAUAAGACCACAGGGUACGAUUGGCAUUCCAUUUGCUGAAUCUUCAGGGUCACAACCACUUGUUGAGUUAGCAUUUUUGGAAUCCCUCAGCUGGUCAUCAUUUCGGCUUUUAACAUACCGCCUAUGAUUCUGGUAAAAGUUGUCAAGCUGGUAGUAAACAUAGAUAGGAGACUUCAUACGCUUGUCCACCU